ensembl:snRNA U6 U6 spliceosomal RNA
GUACUAGCUUCAGCAGCAUAUAUACUAAAAUUGGAACAAUACAGAGGGCCCUACAUAAGGAUGAAAUGAAAAUUAGUAAAGCAUUCCAUAUUUUU